rnacentral:rRNA from 1 species
UACGGGGGGGGCAAGCGUUGUUCGGAAUUACUGGGCGUAAAGGGCUCGUAGGUGGCCAACUAAGUCAUACGUGAAAUCCCUCAGCUUAACUGGGGAACUGCGUCUGAUACUGGAUGGCUUGAGUUUGGGAGAGGGAUGCGGAAUUCCAGGUGUAGCGGUGAAAUGCGUAGAUAUCUGGAGGAACACCGGUGGCGAAGGCAGCACUCUGGGCCGGUACUGACGCUGAGGAGCGAAAGCAUGGGGAGCGAACAGG